UGGGGAAUAUUGCACAAUGGAGGGAACUCUGAUGCAGCAACGCCGCGUGCGGGAUGACGGCCUUCGGGUUGUAAACCGCUUUCAGCCAUGACGAAGCUUUUGUGACGGUAGUGGUAGAAGAAGCACCGGCUAACUACGUGCCAGCAGCCGCGGUGAUACGUAGGGUGCGAGCGUUGUCCGGAAUUAUUGGGCGUAAAGAGCUUGUAGGCGGUUUGUCGCGUCGAUAGUGUAAACACGCAGCUUAACUGUGUGCCUGCUGUCGAUACGGGCUGACUAGAGGAGGGUAGGGGAGAAUGGAAUUCCCGGUGGAGCGGUGGAAUGCGCAGAUAGCGGGAGGAACACCAGUGGCGAAGGCGGUUCUCUGGACCUUUCCUGACGCUGAGAAGCGAAAGCGUGGGUAGCAAACAGG
rnacentral:rRNA from 1 species